rnacentral:rRNA from 1 species
UUAGGCAUGCAAGUCGAACGGUAUAAACCUUCGGGGUUUAGAGAGUGGCGAACGGGUGAGUAACACGUAGGUAAUCUACCCUCAAAACGGGGACAACCCAGGGAAACUUGGGCUAAUACCGGAUGCGUGCAAACAAUGUUUUGGCUGUUGUAAUUAUUCACGGAAGUGGAUAGUUAUGAGAGUUUCAGAGCAUAAUUUGCAUAAAAGGUGGCGUAAGCUGCCGUUUGAGGAUGAGCCUGCGUCCUAUUAGUUAGUUGGUGAGGUAAUGGCUUACCAAGGCGAUGAUAGAUAGGCGGCCUUAACGGGUGGUCGCCCACACUGGGAUUGAGAUACGGCCCAGACUCCUACGGGAGGCAGCAGUCGAGAAUAGUCUACAAUGGCCGGAAGGCUGAUAGUGCGACGCCGCGUGAACGAGGGAGCCCUUCGGGGUGUAAAGUUCUUUUCUAUACGAGCAGUGCUAUAUAUAUGGAUAGUAUAUAUAGAGGGAUAGUAGUAUAGGAAUAAGCAACGGCUAACUCCGUG